GGGGACAGGAGUGGAAAUUAUUAGUGGCUGCUGACCGACAUCAGGAUGGGCCAGUGUGUUCCCUUCCAGUUCCACAGACUUUUUUGGUUUUCCAGAAGACAUCAAUACGUCAGUCUAUCUUAUAAUUUCCUUGCUCCAUUGCGUAUUCCUGAAAGGCUUUGGAGUGCACGAAUUCAUUCGAUAAAGGAAAGAGAACCGUUU
rnacentral:lncRNA from 1 species